GCUGAGCUCAAGUCUCCUCCCAGAAUGAAAGGUGUUAGGUCAAAUAUUCCACCACUGGCCCAAUGUGGAUUGGCAGAGGGAUAAGGCCAAAUAGUCCACCACUGGCCCAAUGUGGAUUGGCAGAGGGAUAAGGCCAAAUAGUCCACCACUGGCCCAAUUGGCAGACUUCACACAUGCAGAGAAUGAAGAAAAUUCUCAAGUGUGUGUUCGUGUUUCCUCACGAUGUUUGAGACACGUGAUAUUUUGUUUAUUAAAAAGCACAUAACUGAAAAGUUGGAUGUGCAUGCCCGGACUAGAUUUGAAUCUACACAUCCUCCGGAAUAGGAGGAAGAGGUCAUAUCCACUGGGCUAUCACGGGCUAUUAAAUAUAACUAAUAUUCCCUGAUAUAUGGCGAGACAAUAGUCCAGCGGGUAGGGAUCGAACUCGUUGUGCUUACAUUUUCAAAUUUUCGAAGCGCUUGCGAUUGUAGAAAGAGAAUCGACGUGACACAUGGCUACAUUGAUGUCUAAUUGAUUUAUUUUGUUAUUUUUAUUAAAGACCGACUAAUACAAGCGACGACGGCGACGUCAGAAAUUGUUCUUCGUACGUUCCACUCUGAAACCGGAGCAUCCUCAGGAGAAAUUGACUGCACAAUAUUCAAUUGUGAAAAUGACAUUCUUUUCUAAAAACUUCAUAAAGUCUAAAAUUCAAUCUUUUUCAAUAAAAAAUAAAUUGUUUAAAGAAUGCGAAUUAUGUCGAUGUCAGAUCUAGGAGACGACAUCGCUUUCAUUCAUCGGUUUUUGCUGAAAAUAACAAAAUAAAUCAGGGGCCUAAUUGUCUAACGCAAACGAUUGAAUUUGACAGUUGAAAUCGUACGUUUUUACUCGUCAAACGGCUAUUUCGGAUUGUGUAAGCCAAUGGAAAGCCAUCGGUUGGGCAUAGUUAGUUCAUUACGAUUAGAUCGUUAUUUUUAUACGAAGAGUGAAUGAUUUGUUAAGAUUUGACAGUUAUUUGCGAUUGUCUUCGAAUUGUGUAAAGUUUUAUGUUCAUGGCUUAUGUCAAAAACUUACGAUGGGUCUUGAGUCACCUUUGAUCGUAAAACGGACAAAUUGUGGAUGUCCAAAAUUCCAAAAUAAUAAUUUAUAUUUUAUUAAAUAUCUAAAAUUAAUAUUUUUUUCCAUUCUAAAUCUCUCAAUUCAUUCUCCCCGUCCACAGUUAGCAUUUUUAGGACGAAACUUUGCGAAGUGUUUUGUUUGUAAACAAUGAACUCUGUUAAAAAGAGUAAUAAAUAAUAUAUUCUUUGCAAUGAAAAGUCAAAACAAUGAAGUUAAUUGAGUGCUAUUAAUCGAUUUAUAUAGGAUGCUGAGACUUGGACUCUGAGAGAAAGUGAGAAAAAGAAUAUACACGCUCUAGAAAUCUGUUGAAGAAGAAUGCUUGCAUAUCCUGGACACAGUCUCACUCCUCCAAGAACUGGGGAUCAAACAGCAUCUUUCUUCCAGCAUCCAAUGUCUUCUUACACACACUUUCUUUGGACGUACCAGAGAAAGAGACGAUAAUUCCAUAGAGCGACAUAAACUCAAUACCUACGAUAUUUAAUACCAUACCAUGUUUUAGAUUUCUGCGACAUCUUGCAUGUUGUUGUAUCCAAUGUGUUGGGAUCUGUGUUCCAGGGCUUAUGUGUGUGGUUUAGUUAAGUUUGCUGGUUAUAAAGCAAAAAGGAAUCGAAUUUCAUUUUUAAAAUUAUGAAUAUGGCGAACGAACUCUUUCGUCAUCGCUCAUAGGAUAUUUGGAAUAUGCCCUAUAACUGCAGACUCCAAUAUUGCAAAAAGCACCUGCAAUACAGUGGAAUAACAUAUUGGUGUGCUGAAGAAAAGAUGGCAAAGGCUUUUAGCUGAUAGGACAUUGUACUGAUGACCCUGUUAUCUGGUCAAAUCAUAAAUGUGUGUGUAUUAUCAAAAUAUUUGCAUAGAUUGUGAAAUGCUGAUGAUAUUUGAUUUGGUCUUUGAUAUUUGAAAAUAAAAGAAUACUUACUUCGCUGA